rnacentral:misc_RNA from 1 species
UUUCCGUAGGUGAACCUGCGGAAGGAUCAUUACUGAGUUGGGGUCUUUAUGGCCCGACUUCCAACCCUUUGUUUAAUCUACCUUGUUGCUUUGGCAGGCCCGCUUAGAAAUGGGCCGCCGGAGACCUUUGAGUCGCUGGUCAGUGCCUGCCAGUAGCCUUUCUAAAUUCAUUUAUAACCGUGUCUGAAUAUACAAAGAAAAAUUAAAAAAAAACUUUCAACAACGGAUCUCUUGGUUCCG